ACAUACGACCAUAGAUGGUAGAAAACUCGGGAUCCCGUCCGCUCUCCCAUAGAUAAGCUACCAAUCGUCUGACUAGUAGUUGGGUCGGUGACGACCAGCGAAUCCCAGGUGUUGUAUGUU
rnacentral:rRNA from 2 species